rnacentral:rRNA from 1 species
CGCGUAGGCGGGACGUCAAGUUAGGGGUAAAAGGCCUGGGCUCAACCUAGGAACUGCCUCCAAAACUGACGUUCUGGAGUCCGGGAGAGGAUGGCGGAAUUCCCAUGUAGAGGUGAAAUUCGUAGAUAUUGGGAAGAACACCAGUGGCGAAGGCGGCCAUCUGGUCCGGCACUGACGCUGAGGCGCGAAAGCGUGGGGAGCAAACA